rnacentral:rRNA from 1 species
UCGAUGUGGGGACGGAGAAGGUUAACUCAGCCAACUGUUGGAUGUGUUGGUUCAAGCAUGUAGUCGUGGCCCUUAGGCAAAUCCGGGGGUCUUAGAUGAGGUAUGAUAACGAGGCGGCUUGCCGCUGAAGUGAGUGAUACCCUGCUUCCAAGAAAAGCCACUAGGCUCUAGCUGCACACGACCGUACCGCAAACCGACACUGGUGCGCGAGAUGAGUAUUCUAAGGCGCUUGAGAGAACUCUGGAGAAGGAACUCGGCAAAUUGACACCGUAACUUCGGAAGAAGGUGUGCCUUUAGUAGGUGAACCAUUUACUUGGGAAGCCCAAUGAGGCCGCAGAGAAUCGGUGGCUGCGACUGUUUACUAAAAACACAGCACUCUGCAAAGACGAAAGUCGACGUAUAGGGUGUGACGCCUGCCCGGUGCUGGAAGAUUAAAUGAUGGGGUGCAAGCUCUUGAUUGAAGUCCCAGUAAACGGCGGCCGUAACUAUAACGGUCCUAAGGUAGCGAAAUUCCUUGUCGGGUAAGUUCCGACCUGCACGAAUGGCGUAACGAUGGCCACACUGUCUCCUCCAGAGACUCAGCGAAGUUGAAAUGUUUGUGAUGAUGCAAUCUCCCCGCGGAAAGACGGAAAGACCCCAUGAACCUUUACUGUAGCUUUACAUUGGACUUUGAACAGAUCUGUGUAGGAUAGGUGGGAGGCUUUGAAGCGGUGCCGCUAGGUGUCGUGGAGCCAACGUUGAAAUACCACCCUGGUGUGUUUGAGGUUCUAACCUUGGCCCGUUAUCCGGGUUGGGGACAGUGUAUGGUAGGCAGUUUGACUGGGGCGGUCUCCUCCCAAAGCGUAACGGAGGAGUUCGAAGGUACGCUAGGCACGGUCGGAAAUCGUGCUGAUAGUGCAUAGGCAUAAGCGUGCUUGACUGCGAGACUGACAAGUCGAGCAGGUACGAAAGUAGGACUAAGUGAUCCGGUGGUUCUGUAUGGAAGGGCCAUCGCUCAACGGAUAAAAGGUACUCUGGGGAUAACAGGCUGAUACCGCCCAAGAGUUCAUAUCGACGGCGGUGUUUGGCACCUCGAUGUCGGCUCAUCUCAUCCUGGGGCUGUAGCCGGUCCCAAGGGUAUGGCUGUUCGCCAUUUAAAGAGGUACGUGAGCUGGGUUUAAAACGUCGUGAGACAGUUUGGUCCCUAUCUUCCGUGGGCGCUGCAAGAUUGAGAGAGCCUGCUCCUAGUACGAGAGGACCGGAGUGGACGCACCUCUGGUGCAUCGGUUGUCACGCCAGUGGCAUAGCCGAGUAGCUAAGUGCGGAAGAGAUAACCGCUGAAAGCAUCUAAGCGGGAAACUCGUCUCAAGAUGAGUCUUGCCGGGGCCUUGAGCCCCCUGAAGAGUCGUUCGAGACCAGGACGUUGAUAGGCCGGGUGUGGAAGCGGAGUAUCCGUUAAGCUGACCGGUACUAAUUGCUCGUGCGGCUUGACCAU